UUGUCUUUUUGGCAUUCAUAGAGAAGUUUGAAGCAAACAAGAACGCAAGCGUCUUGAAGCUAUUUAUGCAACCAGCCGGCAAAUUGCCAAAUCACUGCUGGGCUAUGCCCUUUAGGGUGGCUGGAAAGCAACGACACCAUGCGGCAUCAUCCAACCCCUGAAAAUACAUGAGGAGGGUGUAUGCUAGCAGGUGGUCUUCUGGGUUGGAGGUCCCGUCAUAGGCUCCAACCAGAACAUUUUUAACUUUAGCCGGCUGUACGGCUUCAGUUAUUUCCCUGGAGAAAGCAGAGGGUUGAUCUCCAAGGUGUUGCAGCCUAAGCUGCCAGUCCAUCGGCUGAUAGCCGUAUGCCGCAUGUCCUCUAAAGAGGGCAGGUUGCAUGUAAGGUAAAACUGGCGCCUGGUACAAUGGUUGUGCCAUGUACUGGGCCGACUGAAUCAUAUGAGGACCAGACUGAACCCGUUGGCUACUUGCAGGAGUCUCAUGUACAGACUGGGAACACCUCACAGAGGUAUUCCGAAAGCUAUCAUGAUAAGUCGACGUUGAAGCCGACUCUGAUAGCUGGGUUCUCUUCUCCUCAAUGUAUUGCCGAGCGUCAAAGAACGUUUUCUUGCUACCAUCCGGCUGUAUGUGCCGGAUGGCUUUUCUUGUGCCCAUUUCUGGGAAAUGAAGCCGAGUAAGGUCAAACUGGGGCCGGGCCUUCUCCUUAGGGGCAGGAUGAGGAGUUGGCUAACGGUCCCUGACCGACUUAUGUUUGCCAGCUUGGGCUGGCUUCUUUGCCGACUGCUCCUUUCUAGGAGCAGGUGACUUCUUUGAGGUGAGUUGUUUGAUUUCACCCCUGAGGCUGCUCAGGAGUGUCAUUAGUUCAUCUCGAGUGACGGGAGUCGAUCCUGCCGCCUGGGAAGGAUCAACUGGCCGCCCCGAGGGCUUCUUUGGCUAACCAGCAGUUUUGCUUGGGUCUGCCUGGUCAUGGUGGCGCUCCAGCCUCUCCUUACUGCGGAUGCGUUUAGAGAUGAGGGAUCCAUUUGGAUCCACAUAGGUUUCGACAUCAGCGUCGUCACCUGAGUCAUGAUCCGUUUUGACCUCUACGUCUUCUGGAGGUCGAUUGGCCUCUGGGUUCGGUACAGGUUCUUGUGAAGCCAUUUCAGAGGUACUCUCCCCACAGACGACGCCAAAUGUUUCGGGGGUUUUUGUCCCUUGGGAGAGUUACAACACUGAGACUGGAUUCAACAAAGGAUGCCUGCACCUGCAAAGCAAACGGACCGCCGGAUGGUCGGUGGUCCGCCUCCGAAGAUUAAGUUAGUAAGGGUUCGGUAAUAAAACGUGCGGAAGUAAAGUUUAUCUGCUCGAAUUCCAAGCUCAGGUAAAGUGUUGUGUGUUCCUUGAAAACGACAGCUCUGUGGUAAGUGACGUGUUGUCUCGUAUUGCGUGUAUAUUCUAUGUUUUGUCAUAAAUGGAAGAAUGUCCCUAUUUAUAGGGUCCUUUUGGAAAGUGUGCCCCUCCUAGGAUCUAGUGACCUAGGAAUUAGGUCACACCACUUUUUAAAGGGCCCCUUAAGAUUUGGGCCUUGAAAGCCGCCAAUCCCAGGGGGCAAUAUCUGCUCGACACGUGUCACCAUCUGGAUUGGGCCAACUAAGUGCCCCUUCCAGUGACACGUGUCAUGCUCUGAUUGGGCCACUUGGCAGGGUAUAAAAUACCCAAAUCAAUGAGCAUCAAUCAACUUUCUCAAAUGAAGAACAGGCAAAGUAUAAAAAUCUCAUGGAAGCUUCUGAAAAAGGCUUAUACGAGGGGUGUACUACUUUACCGAAACUUUCAUUUCGAUUGCAUUUGUUUCACCUAAAGUGUAUGUUCCAUUGGUCUGGAGAGUCAUUUAUUAAAUUAUUUGAACUUCUAAUUGACGCAUUUUCCAUUAUUAAGGAGUUUCCAUCGUCCUAUUAUGAAGGCAUGAAGAUAAUAAAUGAUUUAGGGUUAGGAUAUGAGAAAAUCUAUGCAUGUCCAAAUGACUGCAUGUUAUAUUGGGGAAAAUUCGCAAAUAAAAGUGAGUGUCAUAUAUGCCAUACAUCAAGGUGGAAAAGUGUGAAAGGAAAGGAGGGUGAUGUAAAUGAAAAAGGAAAAGAAGCAUGUAAGAAAGGCGAGGCAGCUAGAGUAAUGCGGUACUUUCCCCUUAUCCCUAGAUUAAAGAGGCUUUCAUGUCAUCUAAAACUGUAGAGGACAUGAGAUGGCACUUUAAUCGUAAGGAUGAUAAGAUUCUACGACACCCUGCUGAUGGCAAGACUUGGAAAAUAUUUAAUGAAAAUAUACAGAGUUUGCCGCUGAUCCUCGCAGUGUUAAAUUAGGCCUAGCAAGUGAUGGUUUUAAUUCAUAUCGUCUUAUGAACACAAAUUAUAGUACAUGGCCGGUGGUCCUCAUUCCUUAUAAUUUACCACCAUGGCUUUGCAUGAAACCAUCAUCCUUUAUUCUUUCUAUAAUUAUUCCUGGUAAAUUUGGUCCCGGUAUGGAUAUUGAUGUGUACUUGCAACCACUAAUCCAUGAAUUGAAAUUAUUGUGGGAAGGUGUUGAUGCUUUUAAUUCUUAAGUGGAAGCAACUUCAAACUACGAGCAGCCCUACACUCUACUAUUAAUGACUUUGCGGCUUAUGCUAUGCUGUCAGGUUGGAGUACGAAAGGCUACAAAGCUUGUCCUUCUUGCACUCAUUCUACUUAUUCAGAUAGAUUUGGUGGCAAAAUUAUCUACCCUGGGUAUCGAAAAUUGUUUCCUAUUGAUCACCCAUAUCGUUCACAAGCUAAUUUGUUUGAUGGGAAAGAAGCUUACUGUGCAUGAAGCAAUAUUUAAUAUCUUAUUCAUAAUUAUAUAAUAAAUACAUACUCUUUGAAUGUGAGUGCAGGAUAUGUCAGAAUGCGGUAAAAAAGCAUGAGCCUCCCAAAAUCAGUUUCAUACAUCUGGCUCUAAAAGUUUUGCAAACCGACAAGCUGAUUAUGAAGAUGAACAUGGACAAAAAAUGAGCUUGUUAGAGCUGUGGAUUAAAACCCAUACGGGUAAAGAUGGAAGCUUUCUUCCUAACACAGUCACUGAAGUUUUGUGGAUGAUGUUAAAGCUAAGGUUGAAGAGUUGAGGAUGAUGCACCCUAAGAUGUCUGAACAAGAGCUCGAAGAUGAAGCAUUUCAGCAAACUAUGUAUGGCAAUGAGAUUCCCAAUCGUCCUGUAGGAUACGGAUUAGGGGUUAAAAAGGGGACAUUUUCGGAGUACAUGGUGUGUUAAGGAAGGAAGGGUAUGGAAAAGUUCAAAAGAGGAAUAUUGUGAUGGAUAGUGUUAAAGAAGAAGUGAAUGCUUUGCACAAAAAAAAUGAUACACUAUCCCAAGAAAAUGAAAAGUUGAAAGACCGGGUCGGACACAACAAUCUUCUUCUUAAAGCGCUUGUUGGACAAUUUUCUCAGAUUGUAGGUGCAGUUUGUCAAGGGAAUGCAUCUCCGGAUCUUUUAAACAAAGCAUUUGAGUUCUUAGGAAAGGCAAAGCAUCAAGUAAUCUCUUUAUAACUGAAAUCAGAGCUGAAAUCCAGAACUGAAUUCAGAUUUGAAGUUCAAAACUAAAAAUUAGAUUUGAAAUCAAAAUUGAAAUUCAAAAUGCUUGUCUGCCCUGCUCCCCUACUGCUUGUCUGCCAUGCUCAUUUGUAAAAAAAAAACUUGAAAAAACUUCAAGAUUAGUAUGUUGGGACUAAGGCUUUAUUGUUUUUACUAUGUAUUAUAGGAACUAGGAAGAGAUCUAUUGCCGACAGUUGGUUAAUAAAUUUUGUGGGACUAAGGCUCAAA